rnacentral:snRNA from 1 species
AUCUUUGCGCAGUGGCAGUAUCUUAGCCAAUGAGGUUAAUCCGAGGUGCGAUUACUGCUAAUUGAAAACUUUUCCCAAUACCCCGUUGUGUCGACUUGCAAUAUAGUCUGCACUGGCAAUUUUUGACAGUCUCUACGGAGA